CCUGCGUGUUUCUCAGGCCUCCUGACUUGCCGUUUCGCCAUUAGGCUGUGGGCCUGGUGGAGGAACCUGGUGGCUGGAAAGAUGUGAUGACGGGGCCUCUGGAUGGCUAGGCCGUCAAUGCCCCGUCACGGGAACAAACUCACCUGGCCUGGAAAGGAAAAGAAAAUGCCCCGGCAACACGGUGGGGAAAGUGUCCUCCUUCAGUAAUCUGUUGCCUUGAGACAAAAGGUAGCACUGGACUGCAAGGAAGUGCACCAGAAAAUGGAUGCCAUUACAGCUAACAGUGUCUCCAGAAUGACAAUUAAACUCUGCCUCCUCAGAAACUCCUCAUGGAAUGACAGUGAAAAAGCUAGUGUUCAAUAUUACCUCACAAAGGACAUGCAGAUCAUUAUUGAAUGGAGCUUGAACACUUAUUUCACACAAAGGAAUAUAACAUGGUCCUUUCCUGUCUAGUGACCAAAUUGGAUAUUGCACCAUGCUGAAGCUGAGUUCAAAAGGAAUAAAUCCAGAAUCCAUUUUAACAUCACUUCAUAUCUUAUGUGACCUUCAUCUCCCACCUCCAAGUUUAGGAUCAUGUUCCCACUCAAUCCAGACUCUGCUUUGAUUGCAUUUUAGGGUAUCCAGAUGUUCAUUUUUGGUCAAUAUGAUUGACAUGAAAUCCAUCUUAAUGAGAAGAGAGAACUCCAAACAUUAUCAAUUACCAGGUUGAGACAUUUUAAGUCUACAAUAUUGCGUU